rnacentral:tRNA from 1 species
GUCCCUGUAGCGCAAUGGAUAGCACAUUGAACUUCUCAUCCAAAGGUUGUGGGUUCGAAUCCCACCUGGGAUG